ACUAGGUACUUGGCUGUUUACUUCAUCUUGUUCUCAUAUGGCCACCUAGUGACCGGUACAUAAACAUUUCAGGUGCUGCCAUAUGGUGUGAAGGAUUAAAGAAUUUGACUUGCCCUCUUUGGUGAAUUUUUGGUCUCCUAUUAUCAAAGAGGAAGAAACAAUUUUGGCUGCCACUUAGUUGCCUCGGAGAGUGGGCUCGCUGCCCUGGGCCCGGUGGCCGAUCAGAUACGGGCCGCGACUUUUGGCCCGGAAGAAGAGGCCCGAUGCCAUUUUUUCCAUGCACAUUUUAUUUUUUUUAGUUUUUCAUUUUAUUGCCUAUGUAACGCUAUUCGAAAAUUCAUGAUAUUCUACAAUGUAAAUUUC